rnacentral:rRNA from 1 species
GAGCCCGUCGAAAGGCGGAUUAAUACCGUAUGUUGUCAUGUUGAUGCAUAUUUUCAUGACCAAAGGCUUCGGCCGGUAAAGGAUGGGGAUGCGUCUGAUUAGCUUGCCGGCGGGGUAACGGCCCACCGGGGCGACGAUCAGUAGGGGUUCUGAGAGGAAGGUCCCCCACAUUGGAACUGAGACACGGUCCAAACUCCUACGGGAGGCAGCAG